CGUAGGGGGCAAGCGUUGUCCGGAUUUAUUGGGCGUAAAGAGCGUGUAGGCGGCCAGAUAGGUCGGUUGUGAAAACUGGAGGCUCAACCUCCAGACGUCGAUCGAAACCAUCUGGCUAGAGUCCGGAAGAGGAGAAUGGAAUUCCUGGUGUAGCGGUGAAAUGCGCAGAUAUCAGGAAGAACACCCGUGGCGAAGGCGGUUCUCUGGGACGGUACUGACGCUGAGACGCGAAAGCGUGGGGAGCGAACAGGAUUAGAUACCCUGGUAGUCCACGCCGUAAACGAUGGGUGCUAGGUGUGGGGGGUGUCGACUCCCUCCGUGCCGAAGCUAACGCAUUAAGCACCCCGCCUGGGGAGUACGGCCGCAAGGCUA
rnacentral:rRNA from 1 species